ACGAGAUCCGCAACCCGAUAUGAGUUCCACUGAGUUCAUUACGGUGUGUCCAUGGUGUUUUUCUCACACUGGUUUACGGCACAGCCGCCGACCAAAAAUCAAAAUUGAACAGAAAUCGUACAUCUACCGUUAAAACCCACUACCACUGCAGUACCGCACUACUUUGUUUCUAUCACUUAAGCAAUAUAGGUACAACUGUGUUAAGUAUAAUAUAUAUUAUGUUCGUUUACAUACGAGUAAAAAUUGAUUGUCACGGUGACCAGUUUUUUUUUAAUGUAUAAUAAUAUAUUAUACUUCGUACCUAUUGUUGUUGUUGUUUAUGGACGAAUACUCGUUGCCAAGUGACCGACUUUACCACGACCCUUUUCCGUAUACAUACGGUCUGCCUCAGUGCAUCAGCACAGUAUAGGGAAAAAAUGUACACAGCUAGUAGUACCUACCUAUAGGCUAUAACUGGCUGUAAGAGAAUGCAUUCUAAUCUGAUUUUUAAGUCCAACAAAAAUAUUAAGUGUUCUAAGUGGUGGCCAUGGGAUAGAUGAAGAUCCUCCAGCCAUUAACACAGAAAUACUGUUAGAAUCUGGUGAUAAAGGUUUAUUCUUGUGGAUAUAUUACAGGACCGUAUAUACAGUUUUAUAUAAUGAUGGCACAACCGAUUUUAUACACCCUGAGGAUAUAUAGGUACAGUGAAGAUGAGCAGGGUAUGGGCCGUUUAAAUCUGCAAGACAAGCGCGGGUUAAAAAAAUAUCUAAAAGAAAAGUAAAUAAUUGAUGUUUUAUAAAUGUAUUUACUGU